rnacentral:rRNA from 1 species
GAUGAACGCUGGCGGCGUGCCUAAUACAUGCAAGUCGAGCGAACGGACGAGAAGCUUGCUUCUCUGAUGUUAGCGGCGGACGGGUGAGUAACACGUGGAUAACCUACCUAUAAGACUGGGAUAACUUCGGGACACCGGAGCUAAUACCGGAUAAUAUUUUGAACCGCAUGGUUCAAAAGUGAAAGACGGUCUUGCUGUAACUUAUAGAUGGAUCCGCGCUGCAUUAUCUAGUUGGUAAGGUAACGGCUUACCAAGGCAACGAUGCAUUGCCGACCUGAGAGGGUGGUCGGCCGCCCUAGCACGUAGACGCGGACCGAGGCACUACGGGAAGCAGCAGUUGGGAACCUUCCGCAACAGGCGGAAACCUGGCGGAACAACCGCACGGUAGUGGAUGAAGUCUUCGGAUCGGAAAACCCUGUUUUUAGGGAAAAACAUAUUUGGAAGUUAAUGUGGACAUCCUGACGGUAACUAAUCAGAAAGCACCGGCUAACUACGUG